AUUCAAAAUCUUUCUGUGAUUUGGAUCCAUUCUAUCCCUUGCGUCCGUAACCAGGUUCUCACUUUCCUUUUGUUUUUCUCUACUCUCUGAGAGGCCAAAUCGCAGGCUAAGGAGAGAAGAAAGAGAGAUGGGUGGGCUGACGAGCGCGGUGAUAGCCAUAGCAGGAGUUGUGCUGGGUUGGAUCACAAUAGAGAUCGCCUGCAAACCCUGCCUCGAACAAGGUCGCCAAGCUAUUGACCGCUCUCUCAAUCCCGAUUACGACCCGGACGAUGACCAAAAUGUCGACAUUCGAGCCCCUCUCAAUCCCAGCUCUUCACUUCCUCAAGAUUCCGAUCCUAAUGCCCACACUGCUUCUUCCGCUCCCAAAGUUAUCACCAUCUCCUGAUCACCUUUUUCUCUCUUUCGCCUUAGAAUUAGGGGAGCUACUGGGGACUGAAGUUGAGAGGAAGAAAGCGGGCGAUUCAGCAGAUAUAGUGCAGAACUGGGCACAGCCUUUAAUGUGGGAAAGCUGAUGAAGGAUUAACUAAUCCAUGAAAAGCAUAACAGAGUGCUUUGAGCAAUCUUAUUUACAAUCUAAAAAAACCGAGUAUGAAUUCUAUAAGAAAUUCUUAGAUGUGAUUAUACUUGAGAUGGACAAAUAAGUGUUGUUCUUUAGCAUUACUCUUUUGCUUCUACAGCAUAUCUAACAUGGAUUUUCCUUGGGUGGAACCACACUGUUGGAUUCAUAUUUGUAUCCUAGCUGGGAUAACCCAUUCCAUGAUA